UCUCACUAUUUUUUUUUCAUGUUUAACCCUUUUUUCCUCGAGUUGCCCUUCCUCAAUUUGUCAAAAAAAGACAAAAGAAAAGAAAAGUCGCGUCCUUACCUUUCUCAGUCGCGUCUCUUCCCUUUCAUUCUUCUUACAAAGUCCACAAAUAUAUAAACACUGCUUUAGCAGAACUCUCACUAUUCGCUUCCUAUUACUCUCUCUAUCCUGUAACAUUUUGUUUUCCUUCUUUAAUCACUUCUCUCUCUCUCUCUCUGAAUUAUUCCUUCGAUGCACUACAUAAAUAUAAAUCCACAUAUUUGCAUCGGUUAUCCAAACAUGAUGCUUUCUUGGUCGAUCUUCAUGCUUUAUAUAUGCUAUUUUGAUUUCUGAGACAAGAAAGAUGGCAAGGCUGUGAAUCGGAAAAGAAGAAGAUUAAGGUCCACAUAAGGGCGGCCAAUAUGAAAUGAUGCACAAGCCAUUAGUUCUACCUCAAUAGGUGGCUUAAAAACACACAAUCAAUUCAUCGUUGAAUCGCUAAAGAACAUGUUCCCAUUCUUUGUGUUCUUCUUACAUCCCCGUUGAUUUCCUUUUUCUCCCCAAUCUUCCAAACAUCUUUCCGUCAGCAUCUCCUGCAACAGCUAUUGAAAAUUAUUCUUCACAGCCUUUGAAGUUGUACAAAACGCUAGCCAAAAUUACUACAAACCCUCCAGGUUAGUCUAAACCAAUAUGUAUAGAUGGAUAUGUUUGGGAAAUCGAUAUCGUCAACUGAUAACGUAUUUCAAGGAGUUGACAAAUACAAAAUAUCUUGGAUAAAGUUCUUUAGGUUUCCUAUUUUGAAUUGUAAUUGUACAUGUUUCUUUAUGAUAUGCCUAAUUUUGUUAUGAUUAAGAACAUUGUCCUAACCUUUAAUUUUUGUUUUGCUCAAAUGAAUUUCCUUUAUACAAAACAGGUGGAGUAGCUCUAUCCAUGUAUGAAAAAGAUGAGAUUCUCUCAAA